rnacentral:rRNA from 1 species
UACGUAGGGGGCAAGCGUUGUCCGGAUUUAUUGGGCGUAAAGAGCGUGUAGGCGGCUUUACAGGUCCGUUGUGAAACCUCCAGCUCAACCUGGAGACGCCACUUGAUACUGGUGUGACUCGAGUCCGGUAGGGGAGCGUGGAAUUCCUGGUGUAGCGGUGAAAUUCGUAGAUAUUCGGAAGAACACCAGUGGCGAAGGCGGCUCACUGGACCGGCAUUGACGCUGAGGUGCGAAAGCGUGGGGAGCAAACAGG